UGUCGCAUAAUAACAAAGUCGUAACGAUAUUCGCGUACACGAACCGGUUCGUGCAGGUUGCUCUGAUCUAUUCUACCAAGAACAGAUAUGUGCCUUUUGUCGUACCCGCCUAUUCAUUAAGUUGAUGGAUCUCAUGCUUAACGAAGAUAUUCCAGAUAUCAGGCCAACAGAAAACUGCUGCACAAGUAGUGAAGCAGAUGCAUUGCCAUGAUGGAGGACUCAGGACUAGUUGUGCCAGACUUCUAGUUUCUAGUAUCAAACAGGCUUGCGCAAUCUUCUUGAAACUGCUUGAGACCACUCCCUGGUGACCGUAGAGUCGGACGGCAUAAACUCACGGUGAGCAUUUCCUGACGGUCGAAGGAAACCGUCACAAGUGUCAUGCUCUCGUCCGUGUUGCUGUCACAGACCUUCCAGGAGGAGUAUCGUAUUGUGGCUUGUAUUGCAGAUCACUUAUGACAUCGACUCACCCAAUCUCACCGGCAAACUUGGGAUUACAUCGGGCUGUUAUGAGAUUUCACCUGGCCGAGCGCAUGACCAAUAAGUGAACGUGUGUCUGUGAAGGCUUCAGAAUACAAAGAUCACAAGUUUCCUAGUGGCAAUAUAUAACAGGACAAAAAACCCUAAGAGAUGUAUGUUCAAGUGAGACACUGAGUCAUCCUGAAGUCAUAUUGCAACACUCGCAACAAUAUUGGAAUGAUCUCAUCGUUUUUCUGCAUUAGCAGCUUCCGUGGCGUUUCCAGGCAUUGGUGGUUGAUAAAGGCCACAGGGCUAGGAGUACCUAUGUGACAGGAGCACUUUUAGACGAAUAAACACAGAAUCCGAUCCGAUUAGGAACUUCGAAUCGGCUACACUUUCAAAUCCCUUAAUGGACAUACGGGUCUUAAAACUGUUUGUGUUUUGCAAGUGGAUGCCCGAGGGCAGCAGACACUCGAGCUUAAAGCAAAAGCUCUCGAGUAAUUUAGCAUAGCGUCUCCAUAUAGGAGGAUGGUUUUAAAUUUCGGUGCAAUUCCUAAUGUGCUUUUUCAAUCUCAAAGAAUUACACUGUCAAGUCACGUCUCGAAAAUUGUUCAAGUACACAUAUUUUUCUAUCGAAGUGCCUCGAAUAAA